UGGGGAAUAUUGCACAAUGGGCGCAAGCCUGAUGCAGCCAUGCCGCGUGUAUGAAGAAGGCCUUCGGGUUGUAAAGUACUUUCAGAGGGGAGGAAGGCGAUGUGGUUAAUAACCGCGUCGAUUGACGUUACCCGCAGAAGAAGCACCGGCUAACUCCGUGCCAGCAGCCGCGGUAAUACGGAGGGUGCAAGCGUUAAUAGGAAUUACUGGGCGUAAAGCGCACGCAGGCGGUCUGUCAAGUCGGAUGUGAAAUCCCCGGGCUCAACCUGGGAACUGCAUCCGAAACUGGCAGGCUUGAGUCUCGUAGAGGGGGGUAGAAUUCCAGGUGUAGCGGUGAAAUGCGUAGAGAUCUGGAGGAAUACCGGUGGCGAAGGCGGCCCCCUGGACGAAGACUGACGCUCAGGUGCGAAAGCGUGGGGAGCAAACA
rnacentral:rRNA from 1 species